rnacentral:rRNA from 1 species
GACGAACGCUGGCGGCGUGCUUAACACAUGCAAGUCGAACGAUGAAGCUAGAGCUUGCUCUGGUGAAUUAGUGGCGAACGGGUGAGUAACACGUGAGUAACCUGCCCCGAACUCUGGGAUAACUGCUGGAAACGGUAGCUAAUACUGGAUACGACCUGAGAAGGCAUCUUCUGUAGGUGGAAAGAAUUUCGGUUCGGGAUGGACUCGCGGCCUAUCAGCUUGUUGGUGAGGUAAUGGCUCACCAAGGCGACGACGGGUAGCCGGCCUGAGAGGGUGACCGGCCACACUGGGACUGAGACACGGCCCAGACUCCUACGGGAGGCAGCAGUGGGGAAUAUUGCACAAUGGGCGCAAGCCUGAUGCAGCAACGCCGCGUGAGGGAUGACGGCCUUCGGGUUGUAAACCUCUUUUAGUAGGGAAGAAGCGAAAGUGACGGUACCUGCAGAAAAAGCACCGGCUAACUACGUGCCAGCAGCCGCCGUAA